UGAAUACGAGACGCUAAGGCGUCGAAGUAGUGUAUGUCAUACUUCCAAGAAAAGCUUGCACUGUCAUAAGUAAAAAAUGCCUGUACCAUAACCGACACAGGUGGGUAGGUAGAGUAUACUAAGGGGCGCGAGAUAACUCUCUCUAAGGAACUCGGCAAAAUAACUCCGUAACUUCGGGAGAAGGAGUACCUUAUUCUAUAAGGUUGCAAUAACAAGAUCCAAGCAACUGUUUAUCAAAAACACAGGUCUCCGCUAAGUCGUAAGACGAUGUAUGGGAGCUGACGCCUGCCCAGUGCCAGAAGGUUAAAGAAGUCGGUUAGCAUUAGCGAAGCUGGUAACUGAAGCCCUGGUGAACGGCGGCCGUAACAAUAACGGUCCUAAGGUAGCGAAAUUCCUUGUCGGGUAAGUUCCGACCCGCACGAAAGGCGUAAUGAUUUGGAUACUGUCUCGGAGAGGGGCUCGGUGAAAUAGACUUGUCUGUGAAGAUGCGGACUACCUGCACCAGGAUAGAAAGACCCUAUGAAGCUUUACUGUAACUUGAAAUUGAAAUUGGACUUUAUUCGCCAGUAUAGGUGGGAGGUGUUGAUUAUAAUCUUGCGGGAUUAUUGGAGCCAUCAGUGAGAUACCACUCUUGUAAUGUUAGAUUUCUAACUUUGAAUCAUUAUCUGGUCAAAGGACAGUUUCAGGCGGGCAGUUUGACUGGGGCGGUCGCCUCCCAAACGGUAACGGAGGCGUACAAAGGUUUCCUCUGAACGGGUAGAAAUCGUAUCUAGAGUGUAAAGGCAUAAGGAAGCUUGACUGUGAGACCUACAAGUCGAACAGGGACGAAAGUCGGUCUUAGUGAUCUGACGGUACUGAGUGGAAAGGCCGUCACUCAACGGAUAAAAGUUACUCUAGGAUAACAGGCUGAUCUCCCCCAAGAGUUCACAUCGACGGGGAGGUUUGGCACCUCGAUGUCGGCUCAUCGCAUCCUGGGGCGGUAGUACGUCCCAAGGGUUGGGCUGUUCGCCCAUGAAAGCGGUACGCGAGCUGGGUUCAGAACGUCGUGAGACAGUUCGGUCCAUAUCCGGUGUAGGCGUUAGAAUAUUGAGAGGAGCCUUCUUUAGUACGAGAGGACCGAGAAGGACAUACCUCUGGUGUACCAGUUAUCGUGCCAACGGUAAACGCUGGGUAGCUAUGUAUGGAGUGGAUAACCGCUGAAAGCAUCUAAGUGGGAAGCCCACCUCAAGAUAAGUAUUCUCA
rnacentral:rRNA from 1 species